rnacentral:rRNA from 1 species
GACGAACGCUGGCGGCGUGCUUAACACAUGCAAGUCGAACGGAAAGGCCCUGCUUUUGUGGGGUGCUCGAGUGGCGAACGGGUGAGUAACACGUGAGUAACCUGCCCUUGACUUUGGGAUAACUUCAGGAAACUGGGGCUAAUACCGGAUAGGAGCUCCUGCUGCAUGGUGGGGGUUGGAAAGUUUCGGCGGUUGGGGAUGGACUCGCGGCUUAUCAGCUUGUUGGUGGGGUAGUGGCUUACCAAGGCUUUGACGGGUAGCCGGCCUGAGAGGGUGACCGGCCAAAUUGGGACUGAGAUACGGCCCAGACUCCUACGGGAGGCAGCAGUGGGGAAUAUUGCACAAUGGGCGGAAGACUGAUGCAGCAACGCAGCGUGCGGGAUGACGGCCUUCGGGUUGUAAACCGCUUUCGCCUGUGACGAAGCGUGAGUGACGGUAAUGGGUAAAGAAGCACCGGCUAACUACGUG